rnacentral:rRNA from 1 species
GUCGAACGAUGAUCUCCAGCUUGCUGGGGGGAUUAGUGGCGAACGGGUGAGUAACACGUGAGUAACCUGCCCUUGACUCUGGGAUAAGCCUGGGAAACUGGGUCUAAUACCGGAUAUGACUCCUCAUCGCAUGGUGGGGGGUGGAAAGCUUUUUGUGGUUUUGGAUGGACUCGCGGCCUAUCAGCUUGUUGGUGAGGUAAUGGCUUACCAAGGCGACGACGGGUAGCCGGCCUGAGAGGGUGACCGGCCACACUGGGACUGAGACACGGCCCAGACUCCUACGGGAGGCAGCAGUGGGGAAUAUUGCACAAUGGGCGAAAGCCUGAUGCAGCGACGCCGCGUGAGGGAUGACGGCCUUCGGGUUGUAAACCUCUUUCAGUAGGGAAGAAGCGAAAGUGACGGUACCUGCAGAAGAAGCGCCGGCUAACUACGUGCCAGCAGCCGCGGUAAUACGUAGGGCGCAAGCGUUAUCCGGAAUUAUUGGGCGUAAAGAGCUCGUAGGCGGUUUGUCGCGUCUGCCGUGAAAGUCCGGGGCUCAACUCCGGAUCUGCGGUGGGUACGGGCAGACUAGAGUGAUGUAGGGGAGACUGGAAUUCCUGGUGUAGCGGUGAAAUGCGCAGAUAUCAGGAGGAACACCGAUGGCGAAGGCAGGUCUCUGGGCAUUAACUGACGCUGAGGAGCGAAAGCAUGGGGAGCGAACAGGAUUAGAUACCCUGGUAGUCCAUGCCGUAAACGUUGGGCACUAGGUGUGGGGGACAUUCCACGUUUUCCGCGCCGUAGCUAACGCAUUAAGUGCCCCGCCUGGGGGAGUACGGCCGCAAGGCUAAAACUCAAG